UACGAAGGGGGCUAGCGUUGCUCGGAAUCACUGGGCGUAAAGGGUGCGUAGGCGGGUUUUAAGUCAGAGGUGAAUCCUGGAGCUCAACUCCAGAACCUGCCUUGAUACUGGCGAUCUUGAGUCCGGGAGAGGUGAGUGGAACUGCGAGUGUAGAGGUGAAAUUCGUAGAUAUUCGCAAGAACACCAGUGGCGAAGGCGGACUCACUGGCCCGGUACUGACGCUGAGGUGCGAAAGCGUG
rnacentral:rRNA from 1 species